AGGCAGAGGAAGGGGCCGGGGUCAGCCUCCGAGUGGCCUUCAGCUCUUGCACAGCUCGUCAGCACCACUCCUGGGGGGACGGCGGAGGAAGUGAGAAAGGCAGUGAAACCAGUUUAUCAAAGAGAUACCUACAUACCCAUGUUCAUACCGCACUAUCCACUACGGCCAAGAAAUGCAAACUACCUCAGUUUGGCUACUGGUGAGUGGCCAGAAAAAAACGGUACGUACAGUGUGAAAUACUAUGCAGCCCUAAAAAAGGGUGAGAUGCUAUCAUUUGUGGGAUUAGCCUGGGUAGAACUGCAGGUCAUUAUUAUGAUAGGUGAAAAACCAGGCACAGAGACAAGUACCACAUGAGCUCACUCGUGGAACCUAAACAACUCUGAGGCCCUUCCACUGAGUGGCUA